ACUUACGCUAGCCAUGGGAUGAUUAGAACAAGAUAAGAGACAUGAGGAAGACUUCUUCAAGGAGGUGCUCAAGCCAUGUUUUGGAAAAGAGAACUCAAGGUCUGGCAGGGAGAAAGGAGCAAGGUCCCCAAGCAUGCUAACCAUGAAGCAGUGAUAUCGCACAGCACCUGCUUCCAGCAGCCCGGAGCCAAGGGGCAAAAUGGAAAGAGGCAAGUAGAGCUGCAGCUGUCUGGCGCCACUGUAAUGCUGUCUCCUCCUCUGAGUGAGUUCAUCCUGGAAACAUUUUCUCCCAUAAGACAUGCACAGGUCUUACGUUUACAUGUUUCACUGAAAGAAAUUUGAUUCCACUGCUGGGAUGACAAGGAAGACUGAAGAAACCUAAUCCUAGGUGCUGCCACUGGGACAAACAAGAAGCACCAGACACAGUGCUGUUUUAGGGUGGGGCAGAAUUAUGCUGAGGGAAAAGUUAUUAUCACUCUUUAAGGCCAAGGAAACCACAAUUUUUAAAGAAGCUUCUAGAAAUUCUACCCAGUAGAAAAUAAAGAUAAACUUCUGUAAGGAAUUUCAUUCUUUUCAGAAUUCGCAAUCUGAAAUGUAGAAGCCCAUUCCUUCAUGGUUCUCAUAGAUAUUUAGUGUGACUGAGGGGUCAGUGGACUCAUAGCACUCAGGCCAGGCUUCUCCUGAGUCCCUUUCUUUGGCACAGAGGGAGUGAUUCACAGAUCCUCUACCCCCAAAGGCAUUGUUUCCUCAUCUCAACAAGAAUCCAGCACCCGUCAUUUUAUCAGCACACGUCACUAGCUUCUCAAGUGAGACUACUCUGAAGUGAUCUGUGUUUGAAGAAUGCCUUUCCCUUUCCCUUACGUAACUAAGAGGAUGAAAAAGGACACUCACUCCCUAUAUGAAAGCUGUGUAUUGUAAGCAGUCAUCUUGCCUGGCUGAGAACUCUAGGAUCUUUUUCUCUGCUCUCCUUUAGGCUGACACUCAUAGCCAGACCUUCUGUUUAUUAGCCCCCUGAAUCUAUUUGAAAAUAUUUUUGCUUUCAUUAUAAUAUAAGUCACAUUCUUCUUGCAUCUGCCGCUGCAUUUUCCAAAAGGGUUAUGUCAAGGGAAAUUCAACACUCACUUUUCUCAUUAUUUGCUUACCAGCUUGCUCACUCAUCAAAAUACCAGAGUUAUUUGAUACUUCAGAAGAUUAUUUCCCCCUUUAGAUGAUGUGUCAAGGGAAGGGGAGCUGGCCCCAGUAUCAGGUGACAGAAUUUUCUUCGCAUUUCUACUGUUGACUCAAUAAAUGCCCUUGGGCAAGUCAUGGA
rnacentral:lncRNA from 1 species